rnacentral:sRNA from 1 species
GCUGAAGCCGCGUCAACCGGGCUCGGCGGUAUGGCAAACAGCAGAAUUUUCCCGGUUUCCUCUGCUGGCCAACGAAGUGGCAGACGAGUGUCUAUCCCGCCCGGCUU